AUAAAAAUGGAGUCGGGAAAAGCCUGUUUAGGCUACCUAUUUAAGCGAGGAAAAAUUGAAUUUAUUUAUUUCCUUGCUUUUCAUUUUAUUUUUAUUUAUUUUCUUUUUCUCCUCGUUACUGUGCCGUUCCCUUCUUCCUUCCCCGCGCGCCCGACGCCCUCCUCCUUGCCCUAACCGCCGGCCGCGGCGAUUUCUCCUCUCCUCCUAUUUCAUCUCCUUCUCCUUCUCCACACCAGCGCCGCCGUUUGUGCCCUAGCCAGCCCGACGCCACUGCCGGCACCGAUUCCCCAGCGCCGGCCACCGUCCCUCUGUGGCCUAGCAUCUCCACCGCCGCCGACGCCCUUUUUGCUCUAGCACUGGCCGUGAUUUCCUCUGCCCGACGCUGACCCUCAUCUCCUUUGCUCGGUGUCGUCGGCGCAGAGCCAGUCUCUUUUGUUCCGUCGGCAGCAGCCCUUCACCUUGCCCUAGAUCGCCGGAAUCUGGAAGCUUGGGUAGGUCUUCGGUUAGGAGCAGCAACCCAAGCCUUGGUGUCCCCUUCCAUGCCCUAAUUUCACUGUGGGGUCUUCGUUUGGUUCCGGCAGCACUCCAGUCAGUAGCUCCCCUUGUUCCAGCAUCAAGAGGGGCUGUGAAUUGAGGUAGUUGUCGACGGAAGCUUUAGGGCGGUGAGGUGGAUUUCCAACAACCCACAUUGUUAUAGCUGUGAAUCUAGGACUUUGACGCGAGACGAGUAUCUCGGAGUCAGAUUUGGACC